rnacentral:lncRNA from 1 species
AUCUCAUAAAUUCAUAAUAUAAAAACCAAGUGAAACCCAAAACUACUUCACUUCGACAACAUAAUUUACAUACGGAUUUUACUUUCUGGAGACCCCGAAGGGAUUACAAAGAGAAAAGAAAACUACCUUCUGCCUACCUCCACCACUGGAUGAUACAAUGCAUCAAAGGCUUAUUACAACUGGAGAUGGCUACUACUACUACUACUGAGGAGAGUGAGGGAUGUGGUGCUCUGGUGUUGCGAUGCUCUGGAGACUGGUGUUGUGUGUGUUCCAGCGCUCAGUCCUCCUCCUUUGAUAGCACGCGAGGGGCACCGCGCAAUUACUACCUUUAUUCUUCUCUAGCAGGUGUGCUACAGCCUGCCUUGACACAACUUCGGCCUCUUGCGUUUUCCUUUGCUUGAGCUGAUGAAGCAUCUCCAUAUUUUAUCUGCCUUGUAGUUUGCACAGUCAAGCAUCUUAUGCAUGAUUCCAAUGCGUGGCUGAGCUUUUGUCUUGACAGAUGAUUUUGUCCAGACUGAAGUCUUUUUCUUGACAGAUGAUUUUGUCUAGACUGAAGUCGUUGUCCUGACUGAGAACUUUGUCUGAACUGAGAAUUUUGUCCAGACUGAGAACUUUGUCUAGACAGGAGACCUUGUCAUGGCUGAGAGACCAGCUUCUCGUGGCAUGGUAAAAUAUUGCUAUGACAUGGCUGGGUAUACAAACUAGUCCAAUAUAUUACUCUGUUGCUUGCAUGCGAAGCUAUUGGCUCUGUAAAUUGCACAAGCCAACACACAUUGCGUGCGCAAUGGAGUCAUGCAUUGCUUUGGCUCUUCUUGACUAAAACUUCAGCUAUACUCUUGUGCUCCCUUAUGCUUCCAUGGCUGGCAUUAUCAUUUAUUUAUUUAUUUAUUUUUACAAUAAAAUAAUUAAAAUAUAUUAGAUAUUUUACAAUAUUUAAAAUACCAGAUUAUUAAAUACUUAGGUGAUUUAAAUUAGGUGAUUUAAUUUUUUUGAAAUUAUUCAAUUAACUAAUUCUUAAUUAAUUUGCUAAUUAUUAUAUUUUACGUGUAUAUGCAAGAUCUUUUAUGGGUUGGUGAGACCAACGAGACAACCUACGGGUAUGCAACAGUUGUGUUAAUCCUACUCGGUACUCUCCGUAUGUAUCAUUAUGUUGCUUCAGAAGCACCUAAGUUCUUUCACUUGAUGUUUAUAUUGUGAAUUUAUGCGAUAAAUUCCUACCGUCUUCCCAGGCAGUUCCAUCCGAAGGGAACACUUCUCUACGGCCACAAGGUUCUCAUUCAAACGCCACACAUCGGCUAAACAGAGAACGACCGGCAGAGGUUUCUCCUAUAGGAUACCUAGCGUAAGAACUCAUCUCAUAAAUUCAUAAUAUAAAAACCAAGUGAAACCCGAAACUACUUCACUUAGACAACAUAAUUUACAUACGGAUUUCCCUUUCGGGAGACCCCGAAGGGAUUACAAAGAGAAAAGAAAACUACCUCUGCCUACCUCCACCACUGGAUGAUACAAUGCCUCAAAGGCUUAUUACAGACUGGAGAUGGCCACUACUACUACUACUACUAAGGAGAGUGAGGGAUGUGGUGCUCUUGUGCUGCGAUGCUCUGGAGACUGGUGUUGUGCAUGUGUCAGCGCUCAGUCCUCCUCCUUUUAUAGCACGCGAGGGAUGCUGGAUGCUCCCUUCUUUAUUCCUCUGCAUCAUAGAUGGAAGCUGGAGGAUCUCAUACCUUGACACGCCUUAUGCACCGACAAAAUGCC